UCCGCCUACGGGGCGCAGCAGUAGGGAAUCUUCCACAAUGGACGAAAGUCUGAUGGAGCAACGCCGCGUGAGUGAAGAAGGGUUUCGGCUCGUAAAGCUCUGUUGGGAGUGGAGAAAGAUAGAGGUAGUAACUGGACGUUAUUUGACGGGAAUUACUUAGAAAGUUACGGCUAAAUACGUGGCAGCAGCCGCGGGAAUACGUAGGUGGGAAGCGUUGUCCGGAUGUAUUGGGCGUAAAGCGAGUGGAGGGGGUGUAAUAAAGU
rnacentral:rRNA from 1 species